rnacentral:lncRNA from 1 species
GGGGGAGGGUGUGGGCUGAAAUCCCUCUGCCCUAAGCCUGAGCUUCAGGGGAGCUCGUUUGGUUCUACUUGAAUCUCAUUCCUGGUCCAGUGGACUGAGGCAUGCUGGCUUUUUUGGAAAAGCCACAUGCAUCAGCUGCGGUCACUUCUAGUCACAUUGAGGACCAUGGCAACAGCAGGCUUGCAGCAAGCUUCAGCAUUGCUCUCUGAGGGAAGCUGCCUGCCAUGAGAUGUCUGGGGAUUUAUCUGGCUGCGGCUCAGCUCACUCACAUGCUUGGUCUCCUCUCCUACAUCUGCUUCCUUUCCCACCUCAUGCUUGGCACCUUCUGCUUCUGGCUGGUGAGCACAGAGGCUCUGUGAGAGCCAAUUUGCAGUUCUCCAGGUUCAGGAGGAAGCCAGUCGCAAAUACUAGGAGGAACCAAGGCAGCUCUGCUUUCUCCACCAUCAACAGCAGUGCAGUCUUUUGCUGA